rnacentral:misc_RNA from 1 species
AUAUUCCGUGAUCAUCGAAUCUUUGAACGCACAUUGCGCCCUCUGGUAUUCCGGAGGGCAUGCCUGUUUGAGCGUCGUUUCUCCCUCAAACCGCUGGGUUUGGUGUUGAGCAAUACGACUUGGGUUUGCUUGAAAGACGGUAGUGGUAAGGCGGGAUCGCUUUGACAAUGGCUUAGGUCUAACCAAAAACAUUGCUUGCGGCGGUAACGUCCACCACGUAUAUCUUCAAACUUUGACCUCAAAUCAGGUAGGACUACCCGCUGAACUUAAGCAUAUCAAUAACGGAGGAAGAACUACCCGCUGAACUUAAGCAUAUCAAUAAGC